AACGAACGCUGGCAGAAUGCUUAACACAUGCAAGUCGAACGCGAAAGUCUUUCGGGAUGAGUAAAGUGGCGCACGGGUGAGUAACACGUAGGUGACCUGCCGUUUAGAGGGGGAUAACCAGAAGAAAUUUUGGCUAAUACCCCAUACGAACCACAAACUUAAAUAUAGUGGUUGAAAGGAUGCCUCUGCAUAUGCAUCUCCUAAACGAUGGGCCUGCGGUACAUUAGGUAGUUGGAGGGGUAAUGGCCUACCAAGCCAACGAUGUAUAACGGAGCUGAGAGGAUGAUCCGUCACACUGGAACUGAGACACGGUCCAGACUCCUACGGGAGGCAGCAGUGGGGAAUAUUGGACAAUGGGCGAAAGCCUGAUCCAGCAAUUCUGCGUGAGUGAGGAAGGACUUCGGUCUGUAAAGCUCUGUUAAUGUGGAAAAAUGGCAUGUGGUCUAAUAGGCCAUGUGUUUGAUGGUACGCAUAGAGGAAGCACCGGCUAACUUCGUGCCAGCAGCCGCAGUAA
rnacentral:rRNA from 1 species